AGGAUGAACGCUGGCGGUCUGCUUAACACAUGCAAGUCGAACGGAGUACCUCGGUACUUAGUGGCGGACGGGUGAGUAACGCGUGAGAAUCUGCCCUUAGGUCGGGGACAACCAUUGGAAACGAUGGCUAAUACCGGAUAAGCCGAGAGGUAAAAGAUUAAUUGCCUAGGGAAGAGCUCGCGUCUGAUUAGCUAGUUGGUGAGGUAAAGGCUCACCAAGGCAUCGAUCAGUAGCUGGUCUGAGAGGACGAUCAGCCGGAUUGGGACUGAGAUACGGCCCAGACUCCUACGGGGGGCAGCAAUUAGGAAUCUUGCGCAAUGGGGGAAACCCUGACGCAGCGACGUCGCGUGGAGGAUGAAAUCUUUCGGGAUGUAAACUCCUUUUGUCUGGGAAGAACAAUGACGGUACCAGACGAAUAACGCCCCGGACUAACUACGUGCCAGCAGCCGC
rnacentral:rRNA from 1 species